rnacentral:rRNA from 1 species
GACGAACGCUGGCGGCGUGCCUAAUACAUGCAAGUCGAACGAGUGGCGGACGGGUGAGUAAUGCUUGGGAAUCUGGCUUAUGGAGGGGGAUAACUACGGGAAACUGUAGCUAAUACCGCGUCCGAUAGGCUGAGCCCAAGUGGGAUUAGGUAGUUGGUGAGGGAAAGGCUCACCAAGCCGACGAUCUCUAGCUGGUCUGAGAGGAUGACCAGCCACACGGGAGCGGAGACACGGCCCAGACGCCUUCGGGAGGCAGCAGUGGGGAAUAUUGCGCAAUGGGGGCAACCUGACGCAGCCAUGCCGCGUGAAUGAAGAAGGCCUUCGGGUUGUAAAGUUCUUUCGGUAGCGAGGCGUUAACUACAGAAGAAGCACCGGCUAACUCCGUGCCAGCAGCCGCGGUAAUUC